rnacentral:rRNA from 1 species
ACGCACGCUGGCGGCGUGCUUCACACCUGCAAGUCGAACGGAAAGGCCCCUUUGGGGGUACUCGAGUGGCGAACGGGUGAGUAACACGUGAGUAACCUGCCCUUGACUUCGGGAUAACUUCAGGAAACUGGGGCUAAUACCGGAUAGGAAUCCUUGCUGCAUGGUGGGGGUUGGAAAGCUUCGGCGGUUUUGGAUGGACUCGCGGCUUAUCAGCUUGUUGGUGGGGUAGUGGCUUACCAAGGCUUUGACGGGUAGCCGGCCUGAGAGGGCGACCGGCCACAUUGGGACUGAGAUACGGCCCAGACUCCUACGGGAGGCAGCAGUGGGGAAUAUUGCACAAUGGGCGGAAGCCUGAUGCAGCAACGCCGCGUGCGGGAUGACGGCCUUCGGGUUGUAAACCGCUUUCAGCAGGGGCGAAGCUUGUGGUGACGGUACCUGCAGAAGAAGCACCGGCUAACUACGUG